UACGAAGGGUGCAAGCGUUACUCGGAAUUACUGGGCGUAAAGCGUGCGUAGGCGGUUUGUUAAGUCCGUUGUGAAAGCCCUGGGCUCAACCUGGGAAUUGCAGUGGAUACUGGCGAGCUAGAGUGCGGUAGAGGAUGGUGGAAUUCCCGGUGUAGCGGUGAAAUGCGUAGAGAUCGGGAGGAACACCCGUGGCGAAGGCGGCCAUCUGGACCAGCACUGACGCUGAGGCACGAAAGCGUGGGGGAGCAAACAGG
rnacentral:rRNA from 1 species